GUCCAGAUGGCGCAGUGGUUAACGUGCCUGCCUAGAAAGCAGGAGAUCCUGGGUUCGAAUCCCACUCCAGUACA